CCUACGGGUGGCAGCAGUGGGGAAUAUUGCACAAUGGGGGAAACCCUGAUGCAGCGACGCCGCGUGAGUGAAGAAGUAUCUCGGUACGUAAAGCUCUAUCAGCAGGGAAGAAAAUGACGGUACCUGACUAAGAAGCCCCGGCUAACUACGUUCCAGAAGCCGCGGUAAUACGUAGGGGGCAAGCGUUAUCCGGAUUUACUGGGUGUUAAGGGGGCGUAGACGGCAGAACAGGUCUGUAGUGAAAUGCAUGGGCUUAAACCCGGAACUGCUUUGGAAACUGUGCGGCUGGAGUGCAGGAGGGGUAAGCGGAAUUCGUAGUGUAGCGGUGAAAUGCGUAGAUAUGAGGAGGAACACCGGUGGCGAAGGCGGCUUACUGGACUGUAACUGACGUUGAGGCUCGAAAGCGUGGGGAGCAAACAGGAUUAGAUACCCCGGUAGUC
rnacentral:rRNA from 1 species